UUGAAUUUGGCCGCAUAAGGUUCUAAAAUAUCCAGAUGAACGCAUUAACCAUUUUGCUAAUCUGUCUGGCAUGCACUCAUGCAGCAAACAUUCCACCACUAUCGUGUCCAUUGGAGGCUGAUUGCGGUAAGGUAGAUGAAUCAAGCGCUAUUUGCAGAUUGGAUGAAGAAGUGGGAUGUAUUCAAAAAUAUCUUUCCAAGUGCCAUAUGGAUAUUGCAGGCUGUCAUCAAGGAAAAAAUUUCACUGAUUACAGUGACAUAUAUUGCUCAAUGGAGUCGUAUUUCUGCGAAAUAUCACCCACGUACGAGCGCUGGACCAUUUUCUUUGGCAAUGAAACUGAUUGAAAACCCACUAAUAGAAUCUUAAAAAGGAAAGUGAAAAGCACUUAAAUAUCACGUUUAUAUCUGUAGCUUGAUUAAUCAAAAAAAUUAACAUUCUUGAUAAUUUAUAUUUAUAUGGAUGGCAUCAACCACAAAUAAGGCAAGACAACGUUUCUCUAAUAAUAUUUUUCUUUGGUUGUGCUAAGUGUAGAAGUAAGUUACAUUUUAAGCGUGAAUUAGCUGUAACUGAUUGGAUAAGUCAUGGCUCGAUUUCGUUGAACGAAAAUGAAAAUGCUUUACAAAAUACUAAAAUCUAUUUUAAACUCAUCAAAUUUGAGAUGGUCAUAAAGUUGUUGUGUAUGCUCUUCUUCAGCAUAGGUAUAGCCAGAGGUACACCAACUCCCAAAUGCCCAUCGGAAAAAAUUUGUGGUAAUGUAGGCGAAUCAAAGGAAGUUUGUAUUUUGGACGAAAAUGAAAACUGUAUAAGAAAAUAUAAGUCAAGUUGUCACAUGGCAAUCGCCGGUUGUCGUUAUCCUAAUUUAGAAUUUACCGACUACAGCAACGAGUACUGCGGCAUGGAAGGUUGGAUAUGCGAAGAGCCACCUUACGAACGCUGGACGCUCUUCUUUGGCCAAGAGGAUGAGUUAGUGACGGCUUAGCCGAUCGCCAACGACAAAUGUGUAAAUUAAUUAGGUAGCAUUUCAAUAAAUAAUCAAUCAACGCA